GGAGCGGUUAGCUCAGUCAGUUUAGCAUGGCGCUAGCAACGCCAAGGUCACGGGUUCGAUCCCGUUUGGUCCC
rnacentral:tRNA from 1 species